GGUUCCAAAAUACCUGGGAACAUGAACUUGCUUACGUUAACUGCAUUUCCCCAGUAACGGCCAUUGAACAUGGAAAAGCCCAGCACCGAAGUCUGCGGCUAGGCAAUGUGGUGUUCAGGUCGUUCCGCGGAGGUGCUACUCCAUUCCAAGUCCAGCAAUGAGUACGGUGAUGCUGACAUGGCUCAAAGAAGGUUAGUGGCCCAUUGGGGUGGAGAGGCAGAAAUGACAGCACCUUCCUGGAUAGACCUUGGAGUCGGGUUGUUUGUGAAUGCAGCCCAAAGUGGGUGGUAAACUCCAUCCAAGGCUAAAUAGUUGUAUGAGUCCGGCAGCGAACUGUGAAGGAGAGUUGGGAUUACUUCGAAGAGAGAGUAAAAAGUGCUUGAAACCGCAGCGCUUCUGACAUGCGGAUUGAUCAUCAGAAGUGAGUAUAGGGGGCGAAAGACUAACCCAACUAUCAGUAGUAUACACUGUUACACCAAUGAUUUUCAACUUAGUCAGUAUGGGGGUGUCUGUUCAGAUAAACGGAGCUCACGACUCGCCGACUGAUGCCCACGGUUCUGUAUGCGAAUCUAAGUAAAACAUGAUGGGGUACUAUCAUAAAGUACACUUGAUCUUAGCACUGGACUGAGGUUUGAUUAUAGAGAAUGGAGUAAAACCAUAAAGUUCCCCCGUUUACGG
rnacentral:ncRNA from 1 species